GACGAACGCUGGCGGCGUGCUUAACACAUGCCAGUCGAACGGAAAGGCCCUGCUUUUGUGGGGUGCUCGAGUGGCGAACGGGUGAGUAACACGUGAGUAACCUGCCCUUGACUUUGGGAUAACUUCAGGAAACUGGGGCUAAUACCGGAUAGGAGCUCCUGCUGCAUGGUGGGGGUUGGAAAGUUUCGGCGGUUGGGGAUGGACUCGCGGCUUAUCAGCUUGUUGGUGGGGUAGUGGCUUACCAAGGCUUUGACGGGUAGCCGGCCUGAGAGGGUGACCGGCCACAUUGGGACUGAGAUACGGCCCAGACUCCUACGGGAGGCAGCAGCGGGGAAUAUUGCACAAUGGGCGGAAGCCUGAUGCAGCAACGCCGCGUGCGGGAUGACGGCCUUCGGGUUGUAAACCGCUUUCGCCUGUGACGAAGCGUGAGUGACGGUAAUGGGUAAAGAAGCACCGGCUAACUACGUG
rnacentral:rRNA from 1 species